UUAUAUUAUAUUAUAUUAUAUUGUGUUUUAGAAUGUUUGGAUCAAAAAUACAUUGAGUUCCCGAUUUUUGGUUAAUGGUUUAUUGGGGUUUUACAUAAUAUGCUCUAAUUCAAGCUGUGAAGAUUUGUUUUGAUUAUGUCUAAUGGAUUCUAGUUGAUUUUAUUUGUAGAUUUCGAUGUUGAACUUUGUAUAAACUUUCGUAAUCUGUUUGAAGUUGUUUGGUGCUGAGUGACUGUGUGAAUGCUUGAUAGACUUCGGAACGAAACAAACGGAGGUGAUUUGUAUCCUGUGAAGCGAAGGAAGAUGAAUUUUCAGAUCGACCUAAUCAGGAAAGAAGAAACUUAAUUUGGAGUUCUAUCAAGCUUUGCGAAUGCCGGCAUAAGUUCCGUCAACUGUAGAUGGAGUUCCACAAAAAUUGCAGUCCACUUCACAUAAUUGACAUUCUGUCUCUCGGAAUUUCAAACCCUUUCAACAGCAAAAACCUUCAUCAAGGGAAGAAACCAAUAGAGUAAAAGGUUUGCGCGUCUCUAUGUGGAGAUUCUUUCACCGAUGAGCAAAUUGAUGAAGUACGAGACAAAUGGGCAUCAUACUUCACUGAACAUUGUGUGUAAAUAAUUAACACUUCAUCUAUCUCUUUUUGUGGAUGUUUCCUCCUAUUGAAAUCAUAUAUAAUUGCCAUUUUUGAUGCAAAUUCGUAACAUACGAAGUGUAAAAGGCAUAUUUAUGAUCGACUUGAAACUAUUUAGGUGGUUUCAUUUGGUAAACAUAUGAUUGUCGACUUAUAUGUCAAAACUA